rnacentral:rRNA from 1 species
AUUGAACGCUGGCGGCAUGCUUUACACAUGCAAGUCGAACGGUAACAGGCCGCAAGGUGCUGACGAGUGGCGAACGGGUGAGUAAUGCAUCGGAACGUGCCCCGUCGUGGGGGAUAACGCAGCGAAAGCUGUGCUAAUACCGCAUACGAUCUAUGGAUGAAAGCGGGGGACCGUAAGGCCUCGCGCGAUUGGAGCGGCCGAUGUCAGAUUAGGUAGUUGGUGGGGUAAAGGCCCACCAAGCCAACGAUCUGUAGCUGGUCUGAGAGGACGACCAGCCACACUGGGACUGAGACACGGCCCAGACUCCUACGGGAGGAAGCAGUGGGGAAUUUUGGACAAUGGGCGCAAGCCUGAUCCAGCAAUGCCGCGUGCAGGAAGAAGGCCUUCGGGUUGUAAACUGCUUUUGUACGGAACGAAACGGUCUGGGUUAAUACCCUGGGCUAAUGGCGGUACCGUAAGAAUAAGCACCGGCUAACUACGUGCCAGCCGCCGCGGUAAUAC